rnacentral:rRNA from 1 species
ACGUAGGGAGCAAGCGUUAUCCGGAUUUAUUGGGUGUAAAGGGUGCGUAGGCGGGAAGGCAAGUUGAAUGUGAAAUACCGGGGCUCAACUCCGGGGCUGCGUUCAAAACUGUUUUUCUUGAGUACAGCAGAGGCAAGCGGAAUUCCCAGUGUAGCGGUAAUAUGCGUAGAGAUUGGGAGGAAGACCGAUGGCGAAGGCAGCUUGCUGGGCUGCAACUGACGCUGAUCCGCGAAAGUGUGGGGAGCAAGCAG